rfam:Oryza brachyantha chromosome 2, whole genome shotgun sequence.
AUCAAAAUGAGGAGGUUGUUUGUUCUGAAUUGUAAUGUGGAUACAUCCAUUGAUGGUCUUCAAAGUUCUCUGAUUGUU